GGGGCCGUGGUCUAGCUUGGACUAUGACUCCAGCCUGGGGCGCUGGAAAUCCUGGGUUCAAAUCCCAGCGGCCCCA
rnacentral:tRNA from 1 species